rnacentral:tRNA from 1 species
GGGGCUGUAGCUCAGUGGUAGAGCGCUUGCCUUCCAUGUGUGAGGCACUGGGUUCUAUCCCCAUCACCA